CCAAGUACACCCGUCUCGGCGGGCUACUACCAACCCUUUGUUGUCCGACCGCGUUGCCUCCGGGGCGACCCUGACCCCCGGGUCAGGGGGACCCCGGGUGGACACCCAAACUCUGCGUAACUUUGUAGUCUGAGUAAACAAGUUAAUAAAUUA
rnacentral:misc_RNA from 1 species